CUCUAUCUCUCUUCCCUGCAGUGAAAGCUCCAUCUCUCUUCCCUGAAAACGUCCAAAACCCUACACACUCAAACCAUCUUAUCUGGUUCAAACGUCAGAAAGCUUCCACCUUUCCAGUUUCCUCAAACAGUUUCUCAUUCAAAAUUCAAAUUCAUUAUUUCCCCAAACCAGAUCUGCAAAACAAUUUCCAUAACCCAGAGAGAGACGAGACCACCGUUUAUUUGUUGUAUUCACACAUUCAUUCUUCACAUUUUUAUCUUCUCUUUGAAACCCUGAUGGAAACGCCCUUGAUUCAGAUGAUCGAUCUUCAUCUAUAAGUGUUUUGCUGUGUAAUCUAGUUUGAGAUCAAGAGCUUGGUGUUGAGAGUGUAGUGAAGUAACAGGAAGGAAUCAUGUUUGGUUCUAGCAAUCGAGAAAGUGCUGUCAUGACAAGAUUAUAGAGGAAGUGGAAAUGAUAAAUUGUUUACGUAAAAGAAUAACCCUUUCUACUUCAUUAGGAGGGUGUGUUCAGAAUUGAUUGUUUUUUUUGUCUUGAUGUGAAAAUUAAGGAGAGGUGGAGUUUCUGUUCGCGGAGGGAACAUACAACCUUUCAUUCCGCCUACAACUUGGGUGGUCGGGCAACUGCUAGGAGAUGAACUUUCUAUGAAUGCCAAUGAUGUGCGGAAGCUGGAAACCAAACUGGAAAAGAGUCUAAAGGUGUAAAAUAUUUACCAGUUAGCUGUGAAUAACUGAUUUUUUUCAUCCCUUCAUUAGCAGGAUCUAACAUUGGUUCGGGACCUGUGUGGACCGAUUAUAUCAGCUUUUUAAAAUCUUUACUGGAGGAUAGAGAUCAUGUUUAGGAGGGAGAGAAAGAAGCAGGGAAAACAAUUGUUGAGGCGUCCUUCGCCCUUCUUGCAUUUUGGCCUACAUAAUGCUUUGUAAACUUUUUUUUCUUCGUUAACAAUACCAGUUGACCUUUUGUCUCAUGGGAACAUAUGUUCUUUGUCUUUUGACAAUAAAGGCAUACGUAAUGUCACUGUGGAAUGUCUUCCAAAGCGCAA